UAGGGAAUAUUGGACAAUGGGGGCAACCCUGAUCCAGCCAUGCCGCGUGAGUGAAGAAGGCCCUCGGGUUGUAAAGCUCUUUUGUCCGGAAAGAAAAGCUUCGGGUUAAUACCCCGGGGUUCUGACGGUACCGGAAGAAUAAGCACCGGCUAACUUCGUGCCAGCAGCCGCGGUAAUACGAAGGGUGCAAGCGUUACUCGGAAUUACUGGGCGUAAAGCGUGCGUAGGUGGUUGUUUAAGUCUGAUGUGAAAGCCCUGGGCUCAACCGGGGAAUGGCAUUGGAAACUGGGCAGCUAGAGUGCGGUAGAGGGAAGUGGAAUUCCCGGUGUAGCAGUGAAAUGCGUAGAGAUCGGGAGGAACAUCUGUGGCGAAGGCGACUGCCUGGACCAGCACUGACACUGAGGCACGAAAGCGUGGGGAGCAAACA
rnacentral:rRNA from 1 species